CCUACGGGGCGCAGCAGUAGGGAAUCUUCGGCAAUGGACGAAAGUCUGACCGAGCAACGCCGCGUGAGUGAAGAAGGUUUUCGGAUCGUAAAACUCUGUUGUUAGAGAAGAACAAGUAGGAGAGUAACUGCUCUUACCUUGACGGUAUCUAACCAGAAAGCCACGGCUAACUACGUGCCAGCAGCCGCGGUAAUACGUAGGUGGCAAGCGUUGUCCGGAUUUAUUGGGCGUAAGGCGAGCGCAGGCGGUCUUUUAAGUCUGAUGUGAAAGCCCUCGGCUCAACCGAGGAAGGUCAUUGGAAACUGGAGGACUUGAGUGCAGAAGAGGAGAGUGGAAUUCCAUGUGUAGCGGUGAAAUGCGUAGAUAUAUGGAGGAACACCAGUGGCGAAGGCAACUCUCUGGUCCGUAACUGACGUUGAGGCUCGAAAGCGUGGGGAGCAAACAGGAUUAGAUACCCCGGUAGUC
rnacentral:rRNA from 1 species